CCCUCCCCUGCUCUCGCAAGGAGAAAGCGGGCGACGAGCGCUCGCAGCCCGUGGGGCUGAUCCCACCUCCCGCAGGGCUCCGGUCGUGUCGCUGUCGGACCGCAGAACGCCGGGACGCAUUUCCGAGCUCGGGCCCGACCCAACCCGCUGCCAUUCUAGCUACCUAGUGGAGCCGCGGAGAGACUCUUGAACCGUGAGGCUCCUUGAUGAGAAGGUGGAGAGGCUGCCGGGCUAUUCUCCGAGCAUCUUCCGGCCGAGCUCUGCUCCUCUCCGUGCGCUUGCGGCUUCUCCUUGGGCUAGCGCGUCCGCAGUCCCUCCAAGUCCAGGCCGCAGUCACCCAGGUGGGGAGCUAGCCUGAAAGAGACAGCGGAAGGAGUUUCCUGGACUGCGCUGUCGCUCACCGACCCGCACCAAUCACCAUGCAGCUUGCCCUCGGACCCGCCCCUUUUAGGGCGUGUCCCCAGUGAGUGAUAGACGGAGCCGCCCUGCCCUGCUCAGCCCAGCCCACGUUGCUGCUUAGAUUGAAAUGCAGAACUCAAGCCUCUUUCAUCGGGGCACAGACUUCCUUUUACUUCUUCCUUUUGCCCUCUCGCCUCCUCCUCCUGGGAAGAAGCGGAGGCGCCGGCGGUCGGCCGGGAUAGCAAC
rnacentral:lncRNA from 1 species